rnacentral:rRNA from 1 species
GACGAACGCUGGCGGCGUGCUUAACACAUGCAAGUCGAACGGAAAGGCCUCAGCUUGCUGGGGUACUCGAGUGGCGAACGGGUGAGUAACACGUGGGUGAUCUGCCUUGCACUCUGGGAUAAGCUUGGUAAACUGGGUCUAAUACCGGAUAUGAACUGCCUUUAGUGUGGUGGUUGGAAAGUUUUUUCGGUGCAAGAUGAGCUCGCGGCCUAUCAGCUUGUUGGUGGGGUAAUGGCCUACCAAGGCGUCGACGGGUAGCCGGCCUGAGAGGGUGUACGGCCACAUUGGGACUGAGAUACGGCCCAGACUCCUACGGGAGGCAGCAGUGGGGAAUAUUGCACAAUGGGCGGAAGCCUGAUGCAGCGACGCCGCGUGGGGGAUGACGGCCUUCGGGUUGUAAACUCCUUUCGACAGGGACGAAGCUUUUUGUGACGGUACCUGUAGAAGAAGCACCGGCUAACUACGUG